rnacentral:rRNA from 1 species
UGAAUACGAGAUGCUACGGCGUUGAAGCAGUGUAUGUCAGACUUCCAAGAAAAGCUCGCAAUGUCAUAAAUAAAGAAUGCCUGUACCAUAACCGACACAGGUGGGUAGGUAGAGUAUACUAAGGGGCGCGAGAUAACUCUCUCUAAGGAACUCGGUAAAAUAACUCCGUAACUUCGGGAGAAGGAGUGCCUUCUUUAAGAAGGUUGCAAUAACAAGAUCCAAGCAACUGUUUAUCAAAAACACAGGUCUCCGCUAAGUCGUAAGACAUGUAUGGGGGCUGACGCCUGCCCAGUGCCAGAAGGUUAAAGAAAUUGGUUAGCAUUUGCGAAGCUGAUGACUGAAGCCCUGGUGAACGGCGGCCGUAACUAUAACGGUCCUAAGGUAGCGAAAUUCCUUGUCGGGUAAGUUCCGACCCGCACGAAAGGCGUAAUGAUUUGGAUACUGUCUCGGAGAGGGACUCGGUGAAAUAGACUUGUCUGUGAAGAUGCGGACUACCUGCACCAGGACAGAAAGACCCUAUGAAGCUUUACUGUAACUUGAAAUUGAAAUUGGACUUUAUUUGCGCAGCAUAGGUGGAAGGCGUUGUGACUAAUCUUGCGGGAUUGGUGGAGCCAUCAGUGAGAUACCACUCCUAUAAUGUUAGAUUUCUAACUUUGAAUCAUGAUCUGGUCAAAGAACAGUUUCAGGCGGGCAGUUUGACUGGGGCGGUCGCCUCCCAAAUGGUAACGGAGGCGUACAAAGGUUUCCUCUGAACGGGUAGAAAUCGUAUCUAGAGUGUAAAGGCAUAAGGAAGCUUGACUGUGAGACCUACAAGUCGAGCAGGGACGAAAGUCGGUCUUAGUGAUCUGACGGUGCUGAGUGGAAAGGCCGUCACUCAACGGAUAAAAGUUACUCUAGGAUAACAGGCUGAUCUCCCCCAAGAGUUCACAUCGACGGGGAGGUUUGGCACCUCGAUGUCGGCUCAUCGCAUCCUGGGGCGGUAGUACGUCCCAAGGGUUGGGCUGUUCGCCCAUGAAAGCGGUACGCGAGCUGGGUUCAGAACGUCGUGAGACAGUUCGGUCCAUAUCCGGCGUAGGCGUUAGAAUAUUGAGAGGAGCCUUCUUUAGUACGAGAGGACCGAGAAGGACAUACCUCUGGUGUACCAGUUAUCGUGCCAACGGUAAACGCUGGGUAGCUAUGUAUGGAGAGGAUAACCGCUGAAAGCAUCUAAGUGGGAAGCCCACCUCAAGAUGAG